UUGAAAAUUAACUCAAAUAUUUAUCAAGCGAGAAAUAUUUUGGUUUUCUGUGCAGUCUUGAUAAAAGUAAAAGAUUCAAUUCGUAAAGCUUUUCCCCACACGUGUGGUGAACUAAAUAAUGUAAAUAGAAAACAUCUGAUUUCUAUUCAAAUUAUUCGUUAAAAUGGACUGUUCUCCAACAGCUUCGCACGAGCAACUAUAGGCAUAUGUUUUAUUUUGCACACCCAGAAUGGGUACGGGGAAAAAUUGCCCAAAAACAUUUCAACAGAUGAAGGAGUUGUGGCAGCAGCUGCCAGAUGAGCUUAGUUCGUGGGGAGGACCAAUACGAAGUUCUGCAAAAUGGAAAGAGGUAACAUUUUAGUUUAUGCAACCACAAUCCCGAACACCAUCCAGCAAGUCCAUCGACACCAACUACAUAUCUUAGCUUGGAAAACCAGGAUGCUUCAACUUCGGUGUUAUCACGAAGUGCACGAAAUAAGCUCAUCAGCACUUUAAUAGCUGACAUACCAAGAAGGAAUGCUGCUGAAAAGGAGAGGCGACAGGAGCAUCGUGAAAUGAUGCAGGCCAGGCGUCUGUAUAUAUAUAACUAAAGAGUUGAUACAUAUAUAUCUUGAUCUUGUUCUUUCACCUUCGCGCAUGUACUGUGAAGAGUUAUAAUCAUUAAUUGGAGUAUCAAAAUCUUCUGCAACUCCGUCAUCUAUUUCGUUCAACAUAAUGCCUGCUUUCGUCAUUAUGCAAUAUAACGCAGGUACUAACAAACAAAGCGGAAGUUUCGUGUGAAUAAUGUAGAACUCGGUGCUUCAACAAACAUCUGAAGCGAGAUUUUAAAACAUCAAAUGCUCUCUCUAUGCAGUUUCUUCCAGAACCAUGUAAUUUGUUGUAUUUUUACUCUUUAUGGGUAUUAGCUGUUCCCACUGGUGUUAAAAGCCACGGUUCUAGAGGAUAACCUUGAUCGCCAAGAAGCCAAGAUUCUCUCCGUUGUUGCUCAGAUGUGUUGGUAUGCUGACGAAUGAGAUGUUCUCGUAUGUCAGAAGUUGCCCAAAUACCAGAGUCAUGUAUUGCACCCGGAAAUUUGGCAUUUGCAAAAGUAAAACAUAAACGGUGAUCGCAAACCUAAGAAACGAUACAUGCAAGAAUUGCAUUGGCAUAUAUGUACAUAUGUGCAUGCAAAAACCAAACUUACUGCUUCAACAUUGAUACUGUAGAAUCCUUUUCUAUUUAAAUAUAAAUUAAGAGGACGUUCGACAUUAUUUGAUAGUGGAACAAUGAUAGCAAUAUGCAUGCAGUCAAUUGCUCCUAUGGUGCUUUGUAUUCUAAAAAAUCUGGAAUAUAUUUCAAAUAAAUUAGCAUAUUACUAUUUCUAUUUCUCCUCCCUUCACCUUCACAAUAAGUUUUGCUACAGCAGGCACACUUCUCGAAAGGGACGACUGACUCAUGGGCAAGUUGACGUUGUUACCUACACAUUUCUGGUAUGAGCUGUGUCCAAAGAAGUUCAAAGAGAACCCUUACAGUUUUAAAGGUAGUGAUGUUUUCUGAUUAUCAUGUGGGGCCGGUUUAUCAAUUAGACCUCGGCAAGUUUCACGAGUUAAUCGCAAAUUUUGCACAAAGGUAUUCUCGCUCAAAGAAAAUGGAUUGCUAUCGUCGCGUAAACAUUUUAAAUGUCGCGAACGAUUCCUAUACUCACAAUUUUCAUCUUCGCUUAACAAUAAUAACAAAAGUAAAAUAUCUUCCAUUUUCACAACAAGAUGCACAAUCAGAUAUUUAAUUCAUAACGAGCACUGCCGUCAAGGGCAUUUGACAUCUUAACGACUUAUAAAGAAAAGAGCUUUUUAUUUCAGACACAUAAUACCAAAUGCUUGAUAAAUUUAAAAUUGUGACAAAUCAUAAAUAUGGUGAAUUUGUCAAGGGCACCAAUAGGGGUGAUUAUAUAUAUAUACAAUUGUGUUCAAAAUAAUAGAAGUACAUCACAAUAUAAAGUACAAAGUUAUGUUUUUCAACAAAAACAAGAAUUUUAUUAAUUUAUUUUUUGUCCACGAAUUAUUCAUUUUAUGCAGUCUUUUUAAGCUCUUAAAUUUUUAGUAAUACACAGUAAAUGCGAAAAAAUAAAAAAAUGCUUACAUAAAAACCUAAAUAAUUCGGUGUUCAAAAUAAUAAGAGUGCAUCACAAAAUUCAAUAAAACUAAUAAUAAAUAAAAAAAUUGGAAAUUACGACUACUAUAGAAGUUAGUUUAGUUAAUAUUUAGUCGAGUAACCGCCAUUUUUAAUUACUGCAGCACAUCUAUGGGACAUGGGAUCAAUCAGAUCACGACACUUUUUCAGCGGGAUUUGCUGCCAUGCCUCGUGGACUGUGCUCCAUAAUUCCUUUAUAUUUGAUGGUCUACGGUCAGCAACAGUUUUUUAAUAGCUGUUCAUAAGUUUUCUAUGCAAUUAAGAUCAGGCGAUUAAGCAGAUCACGUCAUAACCUCAACUUUAUUGGUCCGAAGCCAUUCUUUUGCAAAUUUAGUUGUGUUUCGGGUCGUUAUCUUGCUGAGACAACCACUUUAUUGGCAUAUUCCAUUCCGCGUAUGGCAGCAUUACUUUUAUCAAUAUAUCCACAUACACGUACUGUUCCAUGGUUUCUUUUAUCAGAUGUAUUGGUGCCACGCCGUUAUACGAGAAACUUUCCCACUAUGCAUCACGAUGUUUGACGGUCUUAAGAGUGUAUUGCGGAUUACAUUCCGUAUUUGGUGGAUGACGGUUAUACUGCCUAGACCCUGUGUCCCCAAAUAAAACUACCUUACAUCCCUUUGUCCACAAAAUAUUUCUUAAUUUCUCCGGUUGCCGGUUGCCAUGUUCCCUGUGCUCUAAUUAUGCUUCUUUAUCAACAAUGGGAUUUUUCGCGGACUCCGCGCAAAUAAAUUAUAUUCCAAUAAACGUCUACGAACUAUUAUUUUACUAACAUAAAGAUCUAUACGCUUUUUUAUUUCUCUAGAGGACGCUUUGGGAUCUUUACUUAGACGGCUGGAGUAUGCGUCGAUCUAUUUCUUUAGUAGUUUUACGUUUUCGUCCAUGUGUUUCGGCGUUAUUUUUGUAGAUCAUGGAAUUUGAUAUCAUUUGAUCAGGCACCCGAGUAUUUCUUUAAUUAUUUUUUAUAAGUUUUCACGUUUUUUCUAAGACUUGUAAUGAUUUCACGCCUUUUGUCACUGCGAUGUUUUCCACUAAUUAAUUGAAAUAAAUGACUUAUUCUGUAAAAAA
rnacentral:lncRNA from 1 species